UACAGAGGCCCCAAGCGUUGUUCGGAAUUAUCUGGGUACGUAAAGGGCUCGUAGGCGGAUAUUUAAGUCAGGGGUUGAAAUCCCAGAAGCUCAACUCUGGAACUGCCUUUGAUACUGGGUAUCUCGAGUAUGGAAGAGGUGAGUGGAAUUCCGAGUGAUAGAGGUGAAAUUCGUAGAUAUUGAGGAAGAACACCGGUGGCGGAAGGCGCCCA
rnacentral:rRNA from 1 species